AUGGAGACAGUGAAGAAAGAAGAGCAGUUGUUGCAGGAGCCUUCUGAUAAUAAUAAUAAGAGACAGGUUGCUGAUGAGGAUUUCUUCACCUUCCUGUGCCACAUAGGGUGCAUCCACACUCUGACUACACUCACUUCCAGUCCACAGGUGGCUGUCAAGACUGAGCUGUGUAUAUUACAGGGAGUAUCAAAGAAGACAUCAAUCAAACGAGAUCAUUUUACUUUGACCAUUAAGCAAUUGUUGUUGUGUAAGGUAAUCCCUCAAGAAGGGAAUGGGGGAAAGUUCUGUCUGUGAAGCAUCUCCAAGGAUGGUACUUUUUGUGCUUGGAGACAUUCUUGGAGAGACACAGUCUUUAUGGUUGUUGUUCCACUCAUACAAAUUAUUUUCACUGGACCAUACAUAACAUUUGUGCAUAAAUUCCAUGCUCUCAUGUUUUGUCUAAGUAAAAGUAGAGUCAAGGCAGUUGGGAUAUUCCAUGAAGGAUCUAUCUGCAAAAGGUUUCAAAUAAAAAUGUUAUUGAAAAUUAUUAGUUUUCA
rnacentral:lncRNA from 1 species